rnacentral:rRNA from 1 species
UCUGGCCUCAAAUCAG